CCAUUUUGUGGAUCAUUUCUGUUUUUAAAAAGACAUUUUUUUCUGUGGUUUUCCACGGUUUGGGGAGGCAUUUUUUUUACUGCUUGGGGGGCAUUGCAGGGCACAAAGAGGACACAAGGAGACCUCACAGAGCAAAGUACAGCUGUUUCUUUGCCCAUUCCCCACCGAUUUUGAGACUUUUUUGCCCUUUUUAUUCAACCCAGGAACCUAACUCCUCUUUCCCCAUAGGCAUAAUGCCUUGUUAUUCACGUUUUCGUUACUCACAGUUGUAGGUGAAGAACAGAAUCCCGAGAGCAAUGAGAAGUGCUGAUGGAGAAAGUCCUAUGCUGCAGUGGCUGAGGAGUGGGAUUACCAUUUAUUACCAUUUUUAUUCCAGGAUAUGGAUAUUUUUAUUCCAUGGGCUGUUUAAAAACAAUAAUGUAUUGCAGAGUGAAUAAUGGAGCUGCACUGCAAAGGUUCUUAGUUUUGACAAGACCAAAUCAUCUAUUCUAGCUGAAAAGCUAACCAAGCAAUUGGUCUUAUACAGACAUGUUAAGCUACCUUAUCCUGAGUCAGACCUUUGUUCAGCUAGACCAGUAAAGACCAGACCACUGAUUGGCAGCUACAUUCUAGGUUUUCAGACAGGGUUUUCCCAACCUUGCCUGAGGUGACAGGAAUUGAAUCUCAGUUCUUCUUCAUGCAAAGUGUGUGCUCUACCACUUAGCUAUGGUCCCAUAACCAUCCAUCUCUACUGACAAAGUAGUCUUAUAUGGAAUGUUGAAAGCAUAGGAAUGGCUAUACCGGCCCAUGCCAUCGAUCCAGCCUCAAUGACAGUCAGCAAGAAAAAAACACAACAAUGAAAUGAUCCAUGUUUAUUUUGAGAUUUUAGUGUCCAGAGGUUUAGGAACUCUGUAUGCAGGAAAUUUCACUUCUGGACCAUCUUCAAUAAAGGCAACUAAGAACCUGU